CACGGCGAGUAAACGGCACCAGGACAAGCAAGCGGGAAGGCCCGGCAAACCGAAAUUCAAACCACGGUUCUACAGUAACAGGUCCAAGGUGGAGGGAGGAACAAAACGAUGCGCGUCACCACGCUUAGACCUGCAGACAACAUUCAUCAAACACGAUGUGAUGCUAUGAAGAAAAGCAAACCGAGUGGAUAAUCAUAUUAAUAUUCUAUUUAUGCCAUCCUUAUGUUUUAUAUCGCUUGCGAGGAGGAAAUAUAGCACUGUAUUUAAACUGUGGAUAUACGAGUGUAUUACCGACCGCGGGAGGCUAUCGCGUGGACAGGGAUCAUGAUUCGGGAAUCUUUUCGGGAAGCAGUGUGGCCGAGGCGUCCCGGUUGCAGUUGAGAUGUGAGCCAGAUUGAUAGGUUUUGUACAGUGCCUGUGUCGUCUGAUUCAGCCUCCGAUAGCGCAGACAUGAUGUCAAUUUCUGUACCAAGCAUGCAAGAAGUCACACAAUGGCCCCGGGCCCAAAGAGAUCGAGUGAAGAGAUCGAAAAUGGCACACCUUUUACGUUGGCCAAAUAUCACAUUCCUCCCCUCUUCCCACCACACCUAAAUUUCACAUUCCCCAACCAUAAAAUAUCGCAUUCCCCCCCCCCCCCUUUCCCAGCCCAAUGCUGCCCACCCAAAUAGCAUCUCUACUUCAUUUCCUUCGCUUACAGCGAUGCACGGUCUUAGAGGCGUGUAUAAACUUGCGGUUGGCUGGCGGGAUUUCGUGAGGCAGCGGCGGUGAUGCUGGCCUUAAAUAUGCGGCUCCUGUUGCGCUUUGAUGGUCGCACGAGUCGCCGUUUGCUACACUCUCCACGCCGUAGUUGUUUUGUCAACUGCAUACUUUACGCGUUUUUAAACCUGAUAAUCAAAACUCCUUAAACACGGGCUUCAUCGACUGUGCCAUUUUGGUUUCAUUUUAUCAACAGCUAAUGAUACAUGUAUUACAAUGUAAUACAACGUGUUAUUAGCUCUUGAUUUUAUUUUAAUUAUCUUAGCCAACAGGCGAGGUUACCGCCUAUGUCGGUUUCAUGGACCACGCGUGGCAUUGUAGACAAUAUCUUUUUUGUGGCAGCUAGCUCUGACAGCAUGUGUCACGACAUUUUUACACGCGAUCUGUGUAGUAUGCCUGUAUUCUAGUUUUAGUUUUAAUUUCCCAAGGAUAUCCUGUCAACAGUGCCUUCUGCAUUGAACCCUUCGAAGAGGGCUUGGAGUCUUCUUCGGUUUAUGUUGUACGUCAGAAGAUGCUGAACGUGAGAUGCUGCUAUGAACGCUGGUGAUGCCCUUUACCACGUGUAACAUCACCGUGUAGAUUUUCUCGAGGAAUAUCCCUGAGGCUAUAUCAGCAAGGCAGUAGAAGGUGCACCACAGGGUGCAAUUGGAACAAUGUAGGUACCUGGUAUCAGUAAGUCUCUGACUUGGAAACACAUGGGAGAGAGCAGAAGGCGGGCAUUGUUUGUGCAUUGCAGAGGCGUGUUUCUUUCCCUACUUCGUGCCACCAAGAGGUUGCCAAGGCCCACCCUAUAUUUUCUGUUGUCCACGUGAUCAUGGUAUGGCAAAGUAAGGCCUAUAGUUAAUUGAUUUGAAAUGUGUUAUAACUACAAGGUCAUAUUUAUUUACUUUAAUUGGUUAUUUAAAACUUAGUUAUCCUGCGGUCGUGUUGAUGAUAUUUUUGUAUGUAUGUCUCAUUUUGAUAAGUUUCAAGUUUAGCAAGGCAGAUUCAGUAAUCGAGGUGGUUUGGACCCAGCACCCCCGCCCUGAAAGCUAGCAUACGGAUAGAUAGCUUGGUAUACAGAAUGCUUUGCGGAAUUCUUUACGAAAUGCGAUGUUCGGCUGUUCAUUUCGCAAACGUGAAUGCUGCAUAUAUUUAAAAUACUGCACAAUGCGAAUUUAAUAUGAAUGGUGCAUUUCACCCAAACAUAGAGUAGUGGGUGUCGUUUGGGGUGGGAGUAUUAUACCCUCAAUCGGGUUCUUAUUUGCAGAUGUUUUCGAGUUGAUGAGGUAGUAUUGUGGCGGACGCGUGGAAUCAGUGUCUGUGGCGCCCCCUAACGGGGAGGAUCAAUUCGCUGCAAAUUACGAGCUAUCCACUUGUCCGUCUAGUAAUCACAUGAACAGUGCACCUAACACGAAGUGCCAAAAACGUUUUUUUCCUGACCUUUACUUAACAUCUCAAGCUUUUAUUGUUUAAUACACGCAAAGAGUGACGAGUUUGCGAUUUCUC